rnacentral:tRNA from 1 species
GCCUGGGUGGCUCAGUCGGUUGAGCGUCUGACUUCAGCUCAGGUCACGAUCUCACGGUCUGUGAGUUCGAGCCCCGUGUCGGGCU